AGAGUUUGAUCAUGGCUCAGAGCGAACGCUGGCGGCAGGCUUAACACAUGCAAGUCGAGCGGGCGUAGCAAUACGUCAGCGGCAGACGGGUGAGUAACGCGUGGGAACGUACCUUUUGGUUCGGAACAACACAGGGAAACUUGUGCUAAUACCGGAUAAGCCCUUACGGGGAAAGAUUUAUCGCCGAAAGAUCGGCCCGCGUCUGAUUAGCUAGUUGGUGAGGUAAUGGCUCACCAAGGCGACGAUCAGUAGCUGGUCUGAGAGGAUGAUCAGCCACAUUGGGACUGAGACACGGCCCAAACUCCUACGGGAGGCAGCAGUGGGGAAUAUUGGACAAUGGGCGCAAGCCUGAUCCAGCCAUGCCGCGUGAGUGAUGAAGGCCCUAGGGUUGUAAAGCUCUUUUGUGCGGGAAGAUAAUGACGGUACCGCAAGAAUAAGCCCCGGCUAACUUCGUGCCAGCAGCCGCGGUAAUACGAAGGGGGCUAGCGUUGCUCGGAAUCACUGGGCGUAAAGGGUGCGUAGGCGGGUCUUUAAGUCAGGGGUGAAAUCCUGGAGCUCAACUCCAGAACUGCCUUUGAUACUGAAGAUCUUGAGUUCGGGAGAGGUGAGUGGAACUGCGAGUGUAGAGGUGAAAUUCGUAGAUAUUCGCAAGAACACCAGUGGCGAAGGCGACUUCCUGGACCAAUACUGACACUCAAGUGCGAAAGCGUGGGGAGCAAACAGGAUUAGAUACCCUAGUAGUCC
rnacentral:rRNA from 1 species